rnacentral:lncRNA from 1 species
UUUUUGUAGUUUUAGUAAAGACGGGGUUUCACUAUGUUAGCCAGGAUGGUCUCGAUCUCCUGACCUUGUGAUCCGCCCGCCUCGGCCUCCCAAAGUGCUAGGAUUAUAGGCAUGAGCCACCGCGCCCGGCAGAUGCCUGGCUAAUUUUUGUAUUUUUAGUGGAGAUGGGGUUUCAUCAUGUUGGCCAGGCUGGUCUUGAGCUCCUGACCUCAGGUGAUCCAUCUGCCUCGGCCUCUCAAAGUGCUGGGAUUACAGGCAUGAGGCCCUGCACCCGGCCACUUACAGCUGAAUCCUAAACUUGUAUUGUCUGAAUCUAAAAUUGGGCCCAUGUGCAGGAAUGGUGACAUGAAGGGAGGCGAGGUCUAAGCCCUGUUGAGUCCUUGUGCAAAGCGGAACCAUAUUAAGAACCUAAAACUUAAUAUGUUAAUAUGAGUGCAGUGGCUCACGCCUGUAAUCCCAGCACUUUGGAAGGCCAAGGCAGGCGGAUCACGAGGUCACGAGUUCAAGACUAGCUUGGCCAACAUUGGGAAACCCCGUCUCUACUAAAAAUACAAAAAUUAGGUUCAUGCCUGUAAUCCCAGCUACUAAGGAGGCUGAGGCAAGAGAAUCGUUUUAACCUGGGAAGCAGAGGCUGCAGUGAGCCGAGAGCACAUGAUUGCACUCCAGCCUGGGUGAUAGUGAGAGACUGCGACUCAAAAAAACAAAAAGGUCGGGCGUGGUGGCUCACACCUGUAAUCCCAGCACUUUGGGAGGCUGAGGCAGGCAGAUCAUGAGGUCAGGAGUUCAAGACCAGCCUGGCCAACAUGAUGAAACCUCAUCUCUACUAAAAGUACAAAAAAUUAUCUGGGUGUGGUGGCGAGUGUCUGUAAUCACAGCUACUCGGGAGGCUGAGGCAGAAGAAUCGCUUGAACCUGGGAGGCAGAGGUUGCAGUGAGCUGAGAUUGCGACAUUGUACUCCAGCCUGGGCAACAAGAGCGAAACUCCGUCUCAAAAAAAAAAAUAAUAAUAAUAAUUAGCCGGGUGUGGUGGCAUGUGCCUGUAGUCCCAGCUGCUUGAGAGGCUGAGGCACGAGAAUCGCCUGAACCUGGGAGACAGAGAAU